rnacentral:tRNA from 1 species
GGAUGUAGCUCAGCGGUAGAGCACUUGCCUAGCAUGCAUCAGGCCCUGGGUUCAAUUCCAGGACACCCA